rnacentral:lncRNA from 1 species
GCUUCAAGACUUCUAGCCCCUAGAACUCGACUAGCCAUCAGUCGAUCAGAUUUCUUCAAGAAUCUGACUGGAUCCUCUUAGAACUUCCUCUAAAUUUCUAAAUUUCCUUCUUUAAACCUUCUCCACCCUUGUCUAGACCUGAUUAGGCUUUGUCUUAAGUGCCAAAGCCUUAUCCUAAAACUAAGAGGGGAUGUAAGAAAGAAAGGAGAGCAAUUGAGAGAAAAAUAGAAAGCAAAUUGAAUGUCUGGAACAUCCGACAUGCCACCUA